rnacentral:tRNA from 1 species
GGGGAUUUAGCUCAGCAGCAUAAGCACCUGCCUUGAAAGCAGGCAAUCGUGAGUUCAAUCCCUG